CGGGAUUGAAAUGUAGAUGCAUGAGGCUGAGAGGUCUCUUCCCUUCGGGGCUUCUAUGUAGGUGCUGCAUGGUU
rnacentral:rRNA from 1 species